rnacentral:piRNA from 1 species
UCCUAUCAGGCUGUUGCUAUUUUGAUUGU